rnacentral:rRNA from 1 species
GUCCAUGCCGUAAACUAUGAGAACUUGCUGUUGGACGCAUAAAGGCGUUUAGUAGCGAAGCUAACGCGUUAAGUUCUCCGCCUGGGGAGUACGGCCGCAAGGCUAAAACUCAAAGGAAUUGACGGGGGCCCGCACAAGCGGUGGAGCAUGUGGUUUAAUUCGAUGCAACGCGAAGAACCUUACCUACCCUUGAAUCCACAGAAUUUUGCAGAGAUGUGAAAGUGCCUUCGGGAACUGUGAGACAGGUGCUGCAUGGCUGUCGU